rnacentral:rRNA from 1 species
AACGAACGCUGGCGGCGUGUCUUAAGCAUGCAAGUCGAGCGGCAAGGAAGUGCUUGCACUUCCCUAGAGCGGCGGACUGGUGAGUAACGCGUGGGUGAUCUACCUCGGGGUUGGGGAUAGCCAUUAGAAAUAGUGGGUAAUACCGAAUACGCUUCCAGGGCUACGGCCGUGGAAGGAAAGGCGCUACGGCGCCGACCUGAGAUGAGCCCGCGUCCCAUUAGCUAGUUGGUGAGGUAACGGCCCACCAAGGCGAUGAUGGGUAGGCGGCCUGAGAGGGUGUACGCCCACAUUGGGACUGAGAUACGGCCCAAACUCCUACGGGAGGCAGCAGCUAAGAAUAUUCCGCAAUGGACGAAAGUCUGACGGAGCGACGCCGCGUGGAUGAUGAAGGCCGGAAGGUUGUAAAAUCCUUUUGUCGAGGAAGAAUAAGCGUGGGAGGGAAUGCCCGCGUGAUGACAUGAACCGGCGAAUAAGCCCCGGCUAACUACGUGCCAGCAGCCGCGGU